UCUGCCUGAUGCUGCUACAGCCUCGCUGGGAAGCUGAGGGCUGGGCUUUUAUUUAAGUUGGGUUGAGCAGUGGGGAAAGGCUGGGGGGAGGACACAGCCCAGGUUCACGGGGAGGACACAGCAUUUUCUCUCCCAUUGCCUUUAUAUUCGGCAGCGCCUCUGACCUCUCCCCCACCCCCAUCUCUGACCCUCCCAAGCCAGCCCUUGCUCAGCCCUGGUCUCCAGAUAGGAUGCCACUGCUUUUGUAGGACUGGGGAUUUCUUGCCCAGAGUAAUGGGAGAGGCAAGGCGCAUGAAUGCCUGUAAGUGCAUUGUAUCCCUCUCUCUUCAAUGGCUAAGUAAAAAGAAGACGGGUGAAAUGGCGACACCAAUCUUCCAGGGUUCCUUCUCUCCAAGCGCCAGGAGAUCCCCACAGGCCAAAGAUCCCAUUGACACGAAACCCUGAAAAAAGGGGACAAUAAAGCUGAAUUGGAGCCCCAACCUGCUCUGUCCCCAUCUCCUCUGCACCCAGGUGAGCCAGUCAGGGCGGCAACAGAAAAUAAAUGACACAUUCGAAAGGGUUUCACUGAAGGGUUGAGUGAUGUGACAGUUUCUAAAGGCAUAGACCAGAUGAAGAAAACUAAUAAGGGCUAGUGUGGCACCAGGAUAGAAAUAUCUCUACCAAAGCCCGAUGCCGACUGGGGUCACGGGACACAGCAGAGAGGCCACUCAGCAACGCUGUGAACAUAGAAGAACCACAACCACCACCAGAGCUUCAGGGAUGUCUUUUCAGUUGGCGGGUCAAACCUGUCUCAGGCACAUCUGCCCAGCUCAUGAAAGAGAGAACACAAAGGAGAAUUUACCCAAUGUCGUCAGGCAUUGAGGACAUGCUCGCCUCACAUUCCCCUGUGUCUACACCUGGCAACAAGAGCAGCUGGGAAAUGGAGUGUCCAGCUGGGUGUCUCUCUACCCUCAUGCAGCAAGGAAAGAAGAGAUUUUAGUGGACAGUGGGCAGUCUUAAUCCAGGGCUCAAACCCACACCUGAGCUGUCCUCUUCCUCUUCUCUUCCCGAAGGAAGGGAAAUAAAGUCUACAGCCCAGAAAACAAUGUGACCACCCAUCCCCUACCCAAUCAGAUCCCUGCCAUUCAUCCCAAGAUCAGCAGUCUUGGGAAAGUGGCUUGGAAGCCUCCCUCCAGAAGGACCACCCUUUUGUCCAUCUUUUUCACAUGGGUGGAUGUGAGAAAAGUUUCUGUCCCCACUGCCUGCCUGCCACUCCCUGUCUCAGUUUCAGCUUACGCCCUAGCCCUUUGUUCCCAGUCACCAAGAGUGACUACAAAUGUGGGGGAACAGGAGGACCUGAAACAGUCAUGGAAGUUGAGACUGGGACACAGAAGCCAUGCUCAGAGGCAGCCUAGGUGAGAGUUCUGAUGCCAGGAAAUCCAGCUACUGCUGUGUAACCUAAAGCGGGGAUUAAGCUCUCAGAACUUCAAUGAACUCUUUUGGAAAUAGGGAUAAGAAACCCACUUGUCAGGGCUGUUGUGAACAUCAAAUGUGAUCAUGUAUGUACCUAGUACAUAGUAUGCCUUCAAUAAAUGGGUAAGGCAAACCCAAAGCAAA